GCCUGGGUGGCUCAGUUGGUUGAGCAUCAGACUUUGGAUCUCACGGUUCGUGGGUUCGAGCCCCACGUCGGGCU